AGAGUUGUCUGCCCAUUUCACCGCAGGUGGCAGCUUGAAUCAAAACAACGCACCCAAAAUGAAAGUUUAAAAAGAUGUUCAAGGAAUUUGCUUGUGGAAUUUAAGCCAGCAAUAUCAGUCAAUCAAAGUACAGAUAAGAACAGCUGGAGUGGUAGCUCUGCUGAACUGAUCAACUAACUCAGUAACUAGCAUUUGAUUGUGUAUAACACAGCUCACCAUGUCACAAGCGAGGAAAAGGAGAAGGACAGCAGAAAGUUUUAAGGAUGAAGUGAAAGAAAUCGUAAAAGAAAUGGUAGCAGAGGCUAUUCCAACAAUUGCUAGUGCAGUGGUAGCUCAAUUACAACAGAAUACACCUGUGACAGGUCCAGUCAACGUCAACGCAAUCUGCCAAGCAACAUCAGUUGGGGAUGAUGCGAUUGAACAGCAGCAGCAGACAUUGGACAAUGCAAACCAAGUACCUGAUUCCGUUGUAUCAACGCCCUCGAAUGGUAAUUUGCGCAAUGUAACAGGUCCUCUGCAUGCAGGCCGCCCAUUAGGACAAGGUAUCGAUGUAAAAGUUAAGUAAAAAAUCUGGGCUGAGGAAUACAUUCCCCUUGGUUCCCUCAUUUUCAAACAGAGCUCUGCUAAACUUGAAGCAGUUCAAGGAAAAGAUAAUUCUCUUACUUUUCAGCAAAAGGAACAUAAGUAUUACUUCAGAAAUCAACAACAGUGGAUGAAUGCAUUUCAUAUCUUUGUAGCGGUGUACUGCGAGAAAUGCCCUGCGCAAGCGCCUUGUUUAAUGAAAUACAUAGCAACAAUUCAAAAACUUAGCAAUGAUGUAGGGGACAAGGCAGCUUUUUAUUUCGAUGAACAAUUCCGAAUGUGGAGAGCUGAAAAUCCAGCCCAAAUGCCCUGGGAAAAAAUAAAUGCUGAAUUACACAUGGAGGCAUUGCAUGUUGGGUUGAAAAGUCGGCUUGAUGGUCAAGAAAAAACAUCUAAACAAAAGUCAUUUCAACACCAGCCCUUUCGUGGCAAGUCCAAAAAACCAUGCUUCAGCUACAACAACAACAGUGGUAACUGUACCAGACCGAGCUGUGAAUACUCGCACAUCUGCAGCAGAUGUUUUGGGGAGCAUUCCAAGAAAGACUGCCAUGGACCGUCAGAGUCAAACAACAGAAUUUAUGGAACCUCCAAUAAACAACAGAACCCAACCAACCAAAUCAGAAAAUGAGGUCAGCCUGAAUCCCAGUGUUGUUACUCCUGUUAAUGUAAAAGCACUGUCCUCAAAUGAAUAUAUUUAAUACAUUUAUAACAACUGAAUAAAAAAUGUAAUUAGUC
rnacentral:misc_RNA from 1 species